CUUGACCAUCUUCCCAACACAAUUUCCUCAUACCCAGUCUAGUCCAGCCUUACCUGAAACGACCGUAUUUUCCCUUUGUAAAAUCCUUACUAUUGAUAUCCUUUUAUCAAAUGGUUGGGAACUGAUUAUCCCAUCCCUAUAAGAUUGUCCGAACUCGGACACCCCCCAUCCUAGGACCCCUCUCAUUUCACUCUCCACCUCUUACCCCUACAAACCCUAGCCACCCUCUUUUCCUCUCCAAAAAUCACAUGGAAGGAACCCUAGCCGCUGCCACCGGAAAUCGUUUCACGGCGGCGGUCAAUCACUAAAUGAUCCCAAAGUCACCCUCCACAUUCCCCACAACACUUGGAAUAUUAAUCCACCAUUAUAAUUUACCAAAUUCCUGCCCUCUUCAAUUAAUUUUAGAUCAAAAAAUUAGACCCAAACCCUAGUUCACCCAAAUGCCGUUAAACUCACACCCUACAAUCCCUUUCUUCCUCUCACCACCAAUCACCAAACAUCUCCUAUCAAAAACCCCUAAAAAUCCGCAAAUGUUUUAUCUAAGAACUCUAAGAACACUAGGCCAUGCAUGUUUUUUCCUCGUCGCUCUUUUUUGAUUCGAUAGUGUUAAGAUUCAUCCCAAAUGGUUGUUGUUGAUAAGAGUAACCAUUUGGGGUCGAUUUUAAGCGGUAUCAAAGCCAAAGACGAACUCCGCUUUGUUUCUUCUCUGCAUCUCAUUAUGUAUUAUCCUCUCUUUGUUUUCUUGUUAUUAUUUUUAUUUGUUCUGAUUUGCACCCAUGAAAACUAAAAAUGUAUUGUUAGGGUUUUAUUCAUCUAGAUUUUCUUUGUUUUGCUAAUUAUGCAGUAACAAUAGUUGAACCGCAAUUCUUCGGGUACAUUCCUUAUGCUGUUCUUUUUUGUUUUUUUUUUCAGUCUGGUGUUUAAUUUAACAUUUAGGUUGUUUGGAUAUUUGGUGUUAUUUUUACAAGUUUUUAUUUAAGUAUUCCAUGUCAAUUCAUCCUUUAUUGUUUGUCUCUUAGAAUCAAUUUGAUUUAUAUACCAUUUUGUUGUGGUUUGGGUAGAUUGUCAAUAGCCAUUUUAAUUAGACUUUCGAUGUUUCAAAUCAGAG
rnacentral:lncRNA from 1 species